ACGCAGGUGACAAGCUGUAUAUUUAUUCUGUUUUAUUUCCGUGACUUCUUUUCCUUUUGCCUAAUUUACGAUUCAUAUAAAAUUCCGUGUAUCAUGUAGGAGGCUUCUACAGCACACAAAGCCACUAAUAUGUUUUUAGUUACGUAUGGCGAGUGGGCCAGCUUCUGUCGAAUUAUUGUCACCUGCUUGACAAACAAAAUGUCUAUUCUCAAAAACGUAAACAUGAAAAUGAUACCUCCAACCUGGAAGACAAUACCUCACCCAGUACUUAUGUUUUGCAAUUCGGCCAAAAGACUCAACAUCUGGACAGCCAUUUUGUAAUGGACAGAGUGCUCGCCUUCGAUGAUGUCAUCACUUUGCCGUCCUCUAAUUGAAUGGUA